GACGAACGCUGGCGGCGUGCUUAACACAUGCAAGUCGAACGGAAAGGCCCUGCUUUUGUUGGGUGCUCGAGUGGCGAACGGGUGUGUAACACGCGAGUAACCUCCCCUUGACUGUCGGAUAACUUCAGGAAACUGGGGCUAUUACCGGAUAUGAGCUCCUGCACCAUGUUGUUGGUUGGAGAGUUUCGGCGGUUGUGGCUGUACUCGCGGCUUCUCAGCUUGUUGGGGAGGUAGUGGCUUACCAAGGCUUUGACGGGUAGCCGGCCUGGGAGGGUGACCGGCCACAUGGGGCCUAAGAGACGGCCCAGACGCCUACGGGAGGCAGAAGGGGGGAAUAUUGCAGAAUGGGCGGGAGCCUGUUGCAGCAGCGCCGGGUGCGGGAUGACGGGCUUCGGGUGAUAAACAGCUUUCGCCUGAGACGAAGCGUGAGUGACGGUAAUGGGUAAAGAAGCACCGGCUAACUACGUG
rnacentral:rRNA from 1 species